CCCUUAGAUGUCCGGGGCCGCACGCGCGCUACAAUGGAUGAAUCAACGCGUCAUCCUGGCCCGAAAGGGUUGGGGAACCGCUGAACCUCAUCCGUGGUUGGGAUUGGGGUUUGUAAUUAUUCCCCAUGAACUAGGAAUUCCCAGUAAGCGCGAGUCAUAAGCUCGCGUUGAUUACGUCCCUGCCCUUUGUACACACCGCCCGUCGCUACUACCGAUUGGAUGGUUUAGUGAGAUCCUCGGAUUGGUCACGGCACGGUGGCAGCACUGCGUCGGUGUGCCGAGAAGACGAUCAAACUUGAUCAUCUAGAGGAAGUAAAAGUCGUAACA
rnacentral:rRNA from 1 species